ensembl:miRNA
CUCGCCGUUAUUCGGGGAAGCAGGGCACUGGAGAGCGCUUCAGCACUGCCUCUGGUGGUCGGUUUGUGGAUGGGGGCGGG